AUAAGCUAGUUGGUGGGGUAAAGGCCUACCAAGGCGACGAUCUGUAGCUGGUCUGAGAGGACGACCAGCCACACUGGGAUUGAGACACGGCCCAGACUCCUACGGGAGGCAGCAGUGGGGAAUUUUGGACAAUGGGCGCAAGCCUGAUCCAGCCAUGCCGCGUGAGUGAAGAAGGCCUUCGGGUUGUAAAGCUCUUUCAGCCGGAAAGAAAACGCACGGGUUAAUACCUUGUGUGGAUGACGGUACCGGAAGAAGAAGCACCGGCUAACUACGUGCCAGCAGCCGCGGUAAUACGUAGGGUGCGAGCGUUAAUCGGAAUUACUGGGCGUAAAGCGUGCGCAGGCGGUUUCGUAAGACAGAUGUGAAAUCCCCGGGCUUAACCUGGGAACUGCAUUUGUGACUGCGAGACUAGAGUACGGCAGAGGGGGGUAGAAUUCCACGUGUAGCAGUGAAAUGCGUAGAUAUGUGGAGGAAUACCGAUGGCGAAGGCAGCCCCCUGGGUCGAUACUGACGCUCAUGCACGAAAGCGUGGGGAGCAAACAGGAUUAGAUACCCUGGUAGUCCACGCCCU
rnacentral:rRNA from 1 species